UCUCGAUAGCGUAAAAGUUAACACAAAUUUGUAUGGAGUUGGAACGUUUGCCGCUAGGAGCGUGGAAUUGGUACGUUUGCCUACGUUUGCCGCUAGGAGCGCUGUUCCAGCUCUAUACAAAUUUGAGUUAACUUUUACGCUAUCGA
rnacentral:pre_miRNA from 9 species